GGACAUUGCCAGUGCCAGUUUUUAUAUCCAAGUUUCAGUAUGAUAAUUUUUAAUAGGAGGAUAUAUACGUUUUUUAUUUUUUGUUUUCUGCUUCCUCCAGCGGUAAUUUUUUUGGUAGUACACCUUGCCUCUUAUAUUAUGCUGCUGCUACUACUGAUUGUGCCCUUAUUCUUGGAAUGUGAUUUUGUUUUUUAUCUUUAUAUAAUUUUUCCUUUUGGAAAUUUUUGUUCUUUUUAAACUUUCUUCUUAUUUUUGUACUAGCUUUUUUAUUGAAGCUGCUCAUAUAAUCACAAUUAAUUGAAGAGAUUUAGGAGUUAUAACCUCCUUAAAUUCCUCCCCACAUGGUCUAGGGCUGCAAAUGAGCUGAGUUUUAGCAUGCUCGAGCUUGGGCUUGGCAUUUUGAUCUCAGAAAGUCAGGCUUGAGCUUGAGCUCGGCUCAAGAAUAAAAAUAAUGGCUCGAGCUUGGUUCGGGCUUGGCAUUUUGAUCUUAGAAAGUCUGGAUCGGGAUCGAGUUUGGGCUCAACUCAUUUGCAGGCUCAGGCUUCGUCUCAGGAGAAAACAAAAUAAAAUAAUAAAAACCAAAAAAAAAAAAACCACCAUUUUUGGUUUGUGUUCUUUGGGUAUUUGGGUUAACAUCCAUCGCAAGUAACUACCUAUUUGGCUGUCUUUAUCCUCCAAUUUUCUAUUGAAAAUUCCUUAUAUUGCUUUCAUUUCUGUUCUUCUUGUAUUUGAUUGACAACUAUAGGUGGCUAUUUUAGUUAGUUAUUUAUUUAAUUAUCUACUGCGUGUUGAGGGAGCUAGGUUGCAAAAAUUGUAUAAAUCUUGGGAAGAAAAUCUAGACAUUGGUUUUACCACAUUGAAGGUAAUACUUUUGUGCUCUUUCUACUGUUGAUUUCAUUUAUGUUUUUAGGUAAUUGUUAAUUUGUGUCUUUAUCAUAUGGUGAUUAUUUUUGUUAAAUAGCUUGUUGUUUAUGGUGUGGCUCUUAUACUUGGAGUUUCAUAAACAAAGGAAGGAAGAAGAACAUGGAGGGGCUGCAUAGAUUGGGAGCAACGACUUGGAAUGAAUUGGGAGCAAUCAUUUGUCUUUAUUUGGCUAAGGAUGUGUUGUAUCACGUCAUGGAUGAGAAUUCUCCGGCAUUAGUUUGGUGAAAAUGGGAAUGCCGAUAUAUGUCUAAGGGUUUGUCAAAAUCUGCAAGUGUAGUGGAGAAAGACUCAGAAUGUAAUGUUGAAGAUACGCUACGCGUUUCAUCGGGUUUGGAGUGCCUCACGGGUGAUUCUUGAAUCUUAGUCAUCGGAUGCUUUUAUCCUAGAAAAUGGUUUGACACCGACAGUGAAUUCCACUUCACUACAUAAGCAUCCAUGUGGCAACCUCUGAUGCAUCCAUGUGACUACCUUCGAGAGGAGUAUGAGGUCACACAGCGUUUUGGGAAUCUGGAUUUCAAAUUGAAAUUUGUUGAGCACAACGUUCAUUUUCUUCAAGAAGUCCUCCAAAAUAGGCGGUCAGAUCUUUCGGAGUGGUGCAUCAUUUGCUUGCUGAGUAUUGAGAAUGUCCUAUCCAUUUAUGAGAUCAUUCGUGAAUCAACCAGUGUUUUUCUUUGAUCUGUCAAACAGAUGGUGACGACUUCAACAGCCAAAUAAAGUUUACAGCAUAACUACUUAAUGGAUAUGUUGGUGAAAACCCAAAAGAAGGGGAGAAGAAGCGAUCCCCAGCCUGGUAAGUUCAACCUUGGGAUCCACUGGAUUACAGAGCUUGAAAAGGCAUAAAGCAGCAUUCUUACAACCGGGCAGAACUGAGGCUUUCAGAUCAUCGGCCUGUAAGCUCAGCCUUCUUAGUUGAGAUUGAAGUUUUAGACCCUCAGAACCUCAAAAGGGCUCUCAAUAUCACUAGCGCGGCAGUACAUCCUGAGAUUUUCCUUGAUGGAGAGGGGGAGUUAGAACUUUAGCAUAUUAGAGGGAAGAAGACAACCUUUGAUGAUAAGAAUGUAGCAAGGGGCGCUUUGCAGUGAAUUGGGAACCCACUUCACUACAUAAGCAUCCAUGUGGCUACCUCUGAUGCAUCCAUGUGACUACCUUCGAGAGGAGUAUGAGGUCACACAGCGUUUUGGGAAUCUGGAUUUCAAAUUGAAAUUUGUUGAGCACAACGUUCAUUUUCUUCAAGAAGUCCUCCAAAAUAGGCGGUCAGAUCUUUCGGAGUGGUGCAUCAUUUGCUUGCUGAGUAUUGAGAAUGUCCUAUCCAUUUAUGAGAUCAUUCGUGAAUCAACCAGUGUUUUUCUUUGAUCUGUCAAACAGAUGGUGACGACUUCAACAGCCAAAUAAAGUUUACAGCAUAACUACUUAAUGGGUAGGGCAAAUGAUUCUGCAAUUUACUGCUGCUUGUUGAGUAUUUGAUAAUGUUACAUUAAUUUAUAAGAUUUUUGUGUGAAUCAAUUCCAGUUUAUGUUUUUUGAUUUGGCAAGCAUAUGGGAUUUUUGAUAGCCAA